rnacentral:lncRNA from 1 species
CUGACUAAAAGGAAAAGUCAGUUUAGGGUUUAAAACCCUAAUGCUGAUUGCAUGGAAAAGCUCAGUUUAGGGUUUAAAACCCUAAUGCUGGCUGAAUAGAAAAAAGUUCAGUUUAGGGUUUAAAACCCUAAUGCUGACUAAAGGAGAAAGGUCAGUUUAGGGUUUAAAACCCUAAUGCUGACUGCGUGGAAAAAGUUCAGUUUAGGGUUUAAAACCCUAAUGCUGACUGCGUGAAAAAGUUCACUUUAGGGUUUAAAACCCUAAUGCUGACUGGCUGGGGAUAAAAUUUGAGAACAAUAAGUGACCUCUUUUUUUGAAUUUUCUUGUUUUAGUAGAAAAUAAAAGGGAGUCUCGUGGAAACUUACCUUUUGAGUGAAUUCUUUAUUGCCAAAAUAUUUCUUGUACCCAUGUACCUUCUUCUUUGGGGCGACACCUGCUUUUUGCACGGUUGUCUUGGAUUAUACCUGUUUCAACUUUUCAGACAAAGAACAAUUGUUAGUUCGGAGAUGACGGUCGGUUUGGUGACCUUGAUCGUUCCCAGUUGCUUUGUUGCGUCUCUAUCUCUGUUGCGAAGUCCCGCCAUUGAUUUGAUUCAAAUGGCGAAACCCUUUAGACUGCUCAGGCUCGUAUUUCCAGAUUCUGUG